rnacentral:rRNA from 1 species
UCAAUCUCGUGCGGCUAUAUAUACCGCCGGUCCCUCUAAGAAGAUUCAUAUGAGUACGCCGGUAGUGAAAGUCGCUCGCGACGCACGCGCGCACGCNNNCGAAACCGGAACGACACGUACGCGCAUAACGCACGCGAAAUACCCUCUUGAUACCGGUAGCACGUCUAUUUAAUAGGCUAGAGUUACGUUCGUUAC